UACAGAGGGUGCAAGCGUUGUUCGGAAUUAUUGGGCGUAAAGCGCGUGUAGGCGGCUUUGCAAGUCGGGUGUGGAAGCCCUCGGCUCAACCGAGGAAGUGCGCCCGAAACUGCAGAGCUUGAGUACCGGAGAGGAUGGCGGAAUUCCCCAAGUAGAGGUGAAAUUCGUAGAUAUGGGGAGGAACACCGGUGGCGAAGGCGGCCAUCUGGACGGAUACUGACGCUGAGACGCGAAAGCGUGGGGAGCAAACAGG
rnacentral:rRNA from 1 species